rnacentral:rRNA from 1 species
AUUGAACGCUGGCGGCAGGCCUAACACAUGCAAGCCGAGCGGCAGCGGGAAAGUAGCUUGCUACUUUUGCCGGCGAGCGGCGGACGGGUGAGUAAUGCCUGGGAAAUUGCCCAGUCGAGGGGGAUAACAGUUGGAAACGACUGCUAAUACCGCAUACGCCCUACGGGGGAAAGCAGGGGACCUUCGGGCCUUGCGCGAUUGGAUAUGCCCAGGUGGGAUUAGCUAGUUGGUGAGGUAAUGGCUCACCAAGGCGACGAUCCCUAGCUGGUCUGAGAGGAUGAUCAGCCACACUGGAACUGGGACACGGUCCGGACUCCUCAGGGAGGCAGCAGUGGGGAAUAUUGCACAAUGGGGGAAACCCUGAUGCAGCCAUGCCGCGUGUGUGAAGAAGGCCUUCGGGUUGUAAAGCACUUUCAGCGAGGAGGAAAGGGUGUGUGUUAAUAGUACACACCUUUGACGUUACUCGCAGAAGAAGCACCGGCUAACUCUGUGCCAGCAGCCGCCGUAAAAC